AUUGUGAUGAGGACAGUCUCUGGGCAACCCCUUGAACCUCUCCCAAUCUGAGUAUAAAGACUCCCCCGCUUUCUGUUUGAAGGCAACUAUUUUACUUCUGAUCUU
rfam:Nicotiana attenuata strain TT chromosome 7, whole genome shotgun sequence.